UCCAAAUUCCCCAAACCCAAAUCCUCUCACGCACUCCCUUCGCCGCCGACCGCUAGCUAUCUGGCACCCUGCACAUCACCGACCGCCCGACGUCUCUAGCACACCGUCACCGUGGUAGCAAGGUUGCUGCCCUGUCUCCUUCAUCCUCCUGCACUCACACUGCUUAGCCCCCAAACACUUCUAACCCUAGCUCGUGCGCUGGAGUUCGGGGAGAGACCAAGGCACGGUGGUGGACGCCGCCGUCCCUCUCAGAUCCGGGGCUGAGAGAGAGAGAGAGAGGUGGGUCACCUGCGAGAGAGAGCACUCGCACCCUCGCUCGUCACCAGGGAGCCGCUACCAUCGCCGCCACGCCAUGGGCUUCCUCAGAUCUGUGCCAGCCAGUUCGUUUGAAGAGGGAUCUGGCCGUUGACUGUUGGUGCUUCCCCUCCCCCGACGAUCAGCCAUGACUUGGGAUGGUACUUCUAUCAAGCAAGCAGCGCUUCGGCUGGGAGCUCAAGCUCAAGCAGAACGUCAAAAACAGGGUCUCUAUCUGCUAAUGGGGUAGCCAGCAAUGCAGUCUAAGAGCUGGCUACUGCUAAUGUGAUUUCUGGAUUUGAGAGGAUGAGAACUUGAGAAGAACAAGCUUGAUACUACGAUUGCAAACAAAAAUUCAAUACUACAGGUGAGAGUUGAUACACACCAUACAUAGGCUUUGCAAGCGGGCGGAAAUAGACCUCUUCGUCGAUGACUUCUAUGAGGACGAUAUUGACCUAGAGGCUGGAGCUUUGCUACUCUUUCCGGCCAACAACAAGGGAUCGUUUACUUUUUCUCUCCCCACAUCCAGUCCUUCCCUGUUCCUAUCCCUCCUGCUUAUUUCUUGCUAUAGGGCAACAUAAUGCAAGUGUUUGUUAAAUUGUUGGUCUCAAUGCUCCAUUCUAGCACAAGGAAUUUCGGUAGGAAGACAUAGCAUCAAUCAAGGAUUUUCGGGUGGAAGACAUAGCAUCACUCAUGGUUGUAUAGAUUUACUGUUGUAUUUCUGUAUUUUUGCAAAACUAGUUCAGUAAAGCUUGUAGCUUAUUUCAGUUCUUAAGUGGUUUUACACUUAGGCUUGUAUUGACUUGCUACUUAUUUUUUCCAUAAUUUUGCAACACUAGUUCUGUAGUAUAUAGUACAGUUUUUUUAUGGAAUCAAGCCAAAAUACAUGUAUAUCUAGCCGUUUGUAUUUCUACAGUCAUGCUUCUAAAGAUUUUAUAGUUUUAUUUUCACUAUAGAUUUGCUUCAGUAGUUCUGUAACUUCUAGAAUAGAUCAGUUAAGAGGUUUUACUCUUAGGCUUGUAUAAACUUACAACAUCUUUUAUUUGUAAUUUUGGAACAUUAGUUUUGUAUAGCUUUACUUUAGUUUCUGGAAACAAGAUUAAAUACGUAUGUUUGCAGUUUGUAAUUUACAGUCAUGCUUCUACAUAGUUUACAGUAGUAUUUUCUGUGAAUAUGCUUCACUAGUUCUGUAAAACGUCUAGAAUAGUUCACUUCUGGAAUGAAGAGUUAAUAUGUAUUAAUUGGUUUUCUAAUUUUACCUUUUCGCUUGUAUAGAUUUCCAGCUGUAGUAUUUUUGUUAUUCUUCUUCAGUAGUUUUCGAAAAUGGACUAAAUAUGAAAAGUUGGUUCUAAUUUAUUGUCAGUCUUUUUAUAUAGAUGUUACAGUUGCAUUUUUCUUAUUAGUUUUUGGCAAUUUUGCAAUGAGAAUGGUUUAACAACUGUAGACUGUUCUGGUUUAUAAGGCCAUUGUAUCCAUGAGGAAAUUUGUUACUUAUUUUUGAAUACAUCUCUUACUGUGUAUCUGUACGUUGCAGAGCAACUCAUAUUGGUUUAGCUUAGAUGCAUUUUAAGAUAUGGCAUGAAGCUAGCUAAGGUCUUCUAUUAUUUCUAGCAGCAUGUGAUUGACUGAACAAAAGAAGGACUCCACUCACAUAUGAAAUGCUUGCAAGUUUUUUUUUAAAAAGCAAAGGACCAGCGGUGUAGCUAAGGGCUUUAAUUUAUUAGUACUCCAUCUGUUGCUUCUAAAACACUUGUAUGCACAGAUACUAGUUUCUCUUGGUUAUCAUAAGUGAACAUUCUUUAGAUAAAUUUCACCCAGUUUUUUUAGUGGGGAAGGAAAGCUUCAUGAUAUUCCAUUUAAAGCGCUGAUAUCUAUUUGAAAAUUAAUUUAUGUGCAUACCUCCUCGACCUAACAGUAUUUUUCUACUGUAUAGGAGAAAUCUUCCCAGUUUCUGAAUCCUGAGCAGUAGCAAGUCAGGUGCUUAAUGGUGAUCCUACCAUGCAUAUGGCAUAAGCAAGUUAGUUCUAAAAAGGUCAUUGUUAAUUCGCCCACAUUUGUCCCGCAAUUGCGACAACUUAGUGCAGUGAGAUCAGAGGACAGUCAUCAAUUUAAUCUAAUUUGUGGCACAAAAGUAUAGAUGCUUUUCUCCGAUGCUUUUAUGAAUAUAAUAGUCAGAUGCAGUUUAAGUUCAGAUACUUUUUGACA